GCCCGGGUGGCUCAGUCGGUUAAGCGUCUGACUUUGGCUCAGGUCAUGGUCCCAAGGUUUGUGGGUUUGAGCCCCGCAUCGGGCU
rnacentral:tRNA from 1 species